GUCUGCAAAGUGGCCUGAAAUUUUUGCCCCCUCAUCAUCUGCCUACUGUGGGCGGACGACUUCCCACACCGUGUGGGUUGUGAUUUUCUCAACAUCUCCAUGAGGGAAGAGUGGCUGUGGUCUGGGCCUUGAGCGAUGUCCUUGCGUGACUGGCCCCGCUGCCCUGGGCUCCUUCCACCACACAUCAAAGGCAGCCAGGUUAGAACCCACUUCCCUUCAGUCACAGGCACAAGUUAAACAGUCUCAGGUGUCCUCAGAUGCCCUCUUCUGCAAGUGUUUAUUUUUGUGUUUAUCCCCACAAAUAGGUUCCAGCACUUCCCGUGACGCCCAAAUAAGGCAGAGCAAGCAAUGUCAUGUACUGAACAACAACCAAGUAAAAAACAAAACAACAUCAAGGAAAUAACUUACCUUUGAAGCCAACACCAUGUACACAGCUACAACAAGCCAGUCUCUGAACAGUGUGCUUUGAGCUGAAUGGAAAGGUUCUUUUGUAGCCAGCACAGCUUGCGGGUGCAGCGAGCCAUGCCUCUUUCUCUUGUGGUACUGUUAUUUAAUCAUGGUGAAGGCUAGAGGCCAUUUUGCCUGGGGUGGGAAGCAAUAGAUCAAAGGGAUUUCAGCAGUCCAGGACAUCCUCUGAAUCCUCACUUGUAUCUGGAAACAAACCCAAGAGAACAGGACAGGAUGGUGGAAUGGAAUGUUGGCCUUGGGGUUAGAAUAAGCCAUCGCCAGCUGCGCUCAGGCUGGGCUUGCGGAUGCCAUGUAGGUAGACACAGUGGCCCUAGCACCAAUCCUGGGUAUGGCCUGCUGGGGAGCACCUGUCAAGUGUGGCUGUCCCUGAACAGUGAGGCCAGAAUCUCCCUGUCACCCGCACAAGCACGGAAGCAGGACAGCGCUCUCAAGGACCUGGCCGCUCUCACUCCCUUGCCUACCACAAAAAAGGCCUAUCGAUUUCAGUAGGCAGUUCCCAUCCUUGAGUUUAAGCCAUUUAGGGCCAUUUCUCCUAAGCAAUUCCUAGAGCAGAGCUUUAAAAAUACAUGCUGUGGUCUUCCUUAGGCUAACCACAUGCGCGGGAGGACUUGUGAGCUUGCAGCUUCCUGUGGCCUUCAUGGUGUGGCCAGGGGACUUGUUUGUUCACUCUGGGUCACCAGGAGCUGAAGACACCCAGAGGUCACUAAGAGCCCCCAGGGCCAAGAGGCUUGCUUCCGCCACAGUGGGAGUUUAUGAAGGACGUCAAUUAUUCAAGCUCCACUUAUUUGGAGGCAGUGGGUCUUCUAUGAAUACAGACAUUAUGUUUAUUUAUAGGGACGGUAAACCAACCUGGAAAGUUCAUCCUCUGGCUCUGGAUGAGCUCGGGAUAUCAGGAAGGAAGGUAUUGCUUCCUGUCAACUAUUUAAACUCAAGUCCAACCAACCAGGGCUCUAUGAAUAAACACACAGGGACCUGUUAAACCCUAACUAUGAGCUAAAGUGAGUUUAUUCCUCCCCCGGCCAGUUAUCAGAUGUGCACUUCAUGGUCUGUGGGGGACGUGGUAAACAGCCACUGGGGAGUUUCCUGCCCUUUUAAUUGGAGGGGUUCUUGAAGCAGAUGUCCAACGUGUAAGGAGACGUGGAUGACAGCUCUGGGGCCUCUUGCUGUUGAAGCUGGAAGAACGGAGAAGGUCCAGUAGACUAGUGCAGUAGAUAAUCACUCCAGGGCCAACCCAUGAGGUCUCAAAUCUCCCACCUGAGCUGGCACCUUUCUUAGUUAACUACCUUUGGCAUAAUAUGAAGAAAUGUCAAAUGCUGUGCAUUGUUUUCAAGCCAGAUUCCAACAAUGCUUAGAAAGGUUCUUCGGAAGAAAGCUUUUCUGAGCCUUUUUUCUGAAUUUUGCUUUCCAGAGCCUGACGCAAGGGCGAAAAGUUUCUUUAUUUUCCCUCAUUCCCACCCGUGCUUGUCAGGGCCAACACUGUACACUGGCUCACUUUGGGGAACUCUGGAAAACAUACAUCCUAACCCUUGUCUGAAAAUAACUGGCAGCAAGGCUACAGGUAAAAGCGGAGCUUCUGUAUUUUAGUUUUGAGAUUUGAUCGUUUUUCCAUGGGAGUUGGUAGGUUUUAGAAGUAAACACACACAGAAACCCAUGCAGAAGGAGGGGCAUAGGGAGAGAGAGAAAACUGACUACUUUUGACUGUGGCUUUGGGGCCUGAAGGGAAAAAACCCUACCCUUGAUUUUUUGGAAUUACACCAACCAAAAUGAGGACCUACACUUAACUAAUGUAACAAAGGGAGAUAUUUAGGAAAGAAAAAAACAUUUAAUCAAAACUUAGUCACAGCAGCCUAUAAUGUAAUAUGAUUUCCA
rnacentral:lncRNA from 1 species